GAUAGUGGGGGAUAACCUGGGGAAACCCAGGCUAAUACCGCAUACGUCCUACGGGAGAAAGGGGGCUCCGGCUCCCGCUAUUGGAUGAGCCUAUGUCGGAUUAGCUAGUUGGUGAGGUAAAGGCUCACCAAGGCGACGAUCCGUAGCUGGUCUGAGAGGAUGAUCAGCCACAUCGGGACUGAGACACGGCCCGAACUCCUACGGGAGGCAGCAGUGGGGAAUAUUGGACAAUGGGCGAAAGCCUGAUC
rnacentral:rRNA from 1 species